rnacentral:lncRNA from 1 species
UUCCAAAUUCAUCAUUUUUUUUUAAAAAAACAAAGAAAUAACAGAAGAAUCCACAGCAAAUGAAAUGGCUGCUUCCUUCAGAACAAAACAAAACUCAAGAAAGUCCUGGGGCGAAGGAUUGCUCAUUGUAUGUUUACAAACUCCAAACAAUAGAUGAGGAAUCAGCAGCCAACACUUAGUUUAUCCACGAAUUCAAAUAGGAAUUAAGAUUGGAACAUGAAUGAUCUUACCCACAUAUUUAAACUAGAGUUCACAACCAACUAUAAAUACAUACUUUAAAGUCCAAAACAAUUUCAACCCAAUUGCAACCUUAUAAGCUCAAAUCUGAACCUCAGAACAAGAUGAAAUACCCAAAACAGUAAAAAAACUAAACCAAGUUCGAUGUUUGAACAGAUAGUAGAGAAUUGGUAUUGAUGGAUUUCCUCAUCUUGAAUUACCCAGUUUCACACUUGAACUUCACAUACAAUAGAUCCAAGGUAUACCUGGUGUUGAACAAACAAAGCAAAACAAAAGUGAAUGUUCAACAAAAGAUCAGCAGCAGAAACAACCCAAGUUCAGUUUCAAACAGAAAGGAAAAGACGCAGCAGUCCAAAAAUGUUUUAAUUGAACAGUACCCCAACCUACUUCUAACCAAACUUGUACUAAUCCAAGCUCAAACCAUUUUAACCCCCAAAUGAUCAGAAAUCACUUCAGAAAUUGGAUAAAAAACACAGAUGAAAAAACCAAUGAAAUAGUGACUUUUUGGUGCCUUUUAGCCGUUUGUGUUAUUUUUUAUUUUUAUCUCUGAAAGCUCUCUCAAAACCAAAUAAUUUUUAACUCUCAAAUAUACUAGCCUUCAUUUCAGGAAUUAGAGAUCUAUGAAAUCACAAAGAAACCUCAAUGAAAUAGUGAAAUUUGCAGCCGUUUGUGUUUUUCAGAAUUUUAGCUCUUAGAAAUCUGCCUUGAAAGGCAAGAAAUGAUGCCUUUAUAGGCAAGAAAGUAGGGCAGCGUCAGAUUUUAGUUUUUUG